CCUUAGCAGGCGCAAACUCUCUGGAGCUCGCCUUCCUGCUGGCCGCCCCCAGCACCGACGCCCCUGCUUUUUCCCCAUCUCCUUCCUUGGCGCGCUCGCCCAGGUCGCGCGUGUCCCUGCUCGCCCAGGCCGCGACCUCGCCAAACCGCGCAGUCCCUGCUCUCCUUCCCCAGCCGCGCUCAGCCCAGCCCUUCCUCCUUCGCCCUUGUCGAGCUCCCUCAGCUCGCCCCCAACCACAACCGCACGCCAACCUCGCCCUAGGCCAUGGAGCAGCAACAACCAUGGAACCCUUUCGUGUCGCGCCCUCGAUGUGCUCGACGAAAGUUGGUUCGAUGAACGGGUUGGCUAAUCGCGAUGUGUGGAGGAGACAAAUUUCUAGGAUCUGAGGGUAAGAGAAGCCAAGACCUAGAGCGAUGAUCACUAGUUGUUCGGUGAAAAGGACGAACCGGUGAUCGUGGUUGGUCUUGCGAAAUCCGAGUUCUAUUUUAUGUUGGUAAGGUGUUGUGCGGUGUGAUCUCCAAUUCCAUGUUGCUGAUGUCUUGCUCCAUCAUGACCUUAGGAAAGGAUGUUUUCCUCUAAAUUAUCGUAAUAAUUAUGCUGGGUUUAUGUGUUGUUUUAGCAUACAUUGUGAAAAGCAUUUCUUGCUCAGCAGGACAAGGAGGGGCUUUCAUGAAAUAACUUUUGACCACUUAUGUUCCUUUUCCAAAUAUAAAUUAGUUAGAAGUGGGUCUUGGCAAUAAUUAGCUCAUGACUAUUUGUUGUUGGCCCUUUGGCUGCAAUUUCUGAAUAGUUUGAUGUGAAGGGACCUUGCUGAGCUUUGUGUACUUGAUAUUUGAAUAGUUUGGAGAAAGGAUUAAAAUCUACCCUCACUAAUUUUUUAGAUGCCCCUUAAAACUGAUUUUGAGGAGUUAUUUUCUAGGGAGCUCUUGGAGAUGCUCUUAUUCCUAUUGGUACAGAGUAAUAUGUAUAUUGUGUAAUUAAAAUGGCCUUUAUAUGGUAUUGAACAUUUCCCACAAUAAUCUGUAAUCUUUCCAUGAAUUGUUUUCCUAUAUGUGGUAUUAUUAAUUGGCAGUGCUCCUAGACACUGCACAUCCAUUUCCUGUGAAAUUACUAAAAGAUUGCCGGGAAGUGGCAAUGGGACUGUUACUGAUGAAAUUCUAUGAGAAUUAUUGAUUUUGAAGUAACUUCUUUCUGGACUUUUUUGCCAGCCAAUAUUGUUUUCCAUAGAAAAUGGUUUUUGAAUAUUCAUGGCAAAAAUUUAUGGUUUACAAAAUUCCUUCAUUUCAUCUACAGGAAAUCGGGCAGGCUCUACUACCUUUACCUGGCGAUGCUAAAAGCCAACCAGCACUAGCAACAGCGACUCAAUUUGCUGCCACACAAACAUCUGCACUAGCAGAGGACGCUACCGCAGAAGCCACCACGGAAUGAGAUCCUGCAACGUCAACUCCUCUUCCACCUUAUACAAAUUACCCAGAUUGUGGUGCCCGACGAGGUGGGGGCGUCGUUUGAGAGGGCCGAUGAGGCGUCGGAGAAGAAGCAGUCGAACCCGAUGCAGGAGAUGAAGGUCUAGAAGCUCAUGCUCAACAUCUCCAUCGGCGAGAGCGGUGAUCGCCUCACCCGCACCGCCAAG